UAGGGAAUCUUCCACAAUGGACGCAAGUCUGAUGGAGCAACGCCGCGUGAGUGAAGAAGGCUUUCGGGUCGUAAAACUCUGUUAUUGAAGAAGAACGUGUGUGACAGUAACUGGUCAUGCAGUGACGGUAUUCAAUCAGAAAGUCACGGCUAACUACGUGCCAGCAGCCGCGGUAUACGUAGGUGGCAAGCGUUGUCCGGAUUUAUUGGGCGUAAAGCGAGUGCAGGCGGUCUUUUAAGUCUGAUGUGAAAGCCUUCG
rnacentral:rRNA from 1 species